CCUACGGGAGGCAGCAGUAGGGAAUAUUGCUCAAUGGGGGAAACCCUGAAGCAGCAACGCCGCGUGGGGGAUGAAGGUUUUCGGAUUGUAAACUCCUUUUGUUAGAGAAGAUAAUGACGGUAUCUAACGAAUAAGCACGGGCUAACUCCGUCCCAGCAGCCGCGGUAAUACGGAGGGUGCAAGCGGUACGCGGAAUCACUGGGCGGAAAGAGCGCGUAGGCGGGAUAGCAAGUCAGAUGUGAAAUCCUAUGGCUUAACCAUAGAACUGCAUUUGAAACUGUUAUUCUAGAGUAUGGGAGAGGUAGGUGGAAUUCUUGGUGUAGGGGUAAAAUCCGUAGAGAUCAAGAGGAAUACUCAUUGCGAAGGCGACCUGCUAGAACAUAACUGACGCUGAUGCGCGAAAGCGUGGGGAGCAAACAGGAUUAGAUACCCGAGUAGUC
rnacentral:rRNA from 1 species